AUUUCUUUGUGAUCUCUGUACGAAGUCUAUAAGGGACUGUAAUCUCGCAACGUUACUGACAAGUUACUUUAACCUUUAAUACGUGAUCACCGAAAAUUCUCGAAACGUUUUACUUCACACAUUUCUCGUUUUAACUAGUGUUUGCUCGUGUCGGAUUAAGUGCUCUUUACCAAAUUAUGGUUGUUACGAAAGUCGAUAACAUGGCAUCAUAUUCCGCUUACACGGGAAAACCGAAAAUGCUAUUUCCAAAGAAGCAGAGCGUAGUCGAGCCAUGGUUGACCUUGUGAAGAUUGGCAAAAAACUAAAAAAUCAAGUUGGAACAAUUUAUUGUAUAGAAGUGACAGAUAAUGACAUUUUGAUACAGAUUUAGCUAUUUUGAAGAACUACGUAUAUAAAAAGCAAUUAAUAUAAAUAUAAAAUAAAGGUAUUCAUAUAAAGC